AGAAUCUUUCGCAAUGCCCGAAAGGGUGACGAAGCGACGCCGCGUGUGGGAAGAAGGCCUUCGGGUUGUAAACCACUGUCGGGAGUUAGGAAAUGUAAGGGUGUUAAUAGUAUCCUUACUUGACUAAGGCUCCGGAGGAAGCCACGGCUAACUCUGUGCCAGCAGCCGCGGUAAUACAGAGGCGGCAAGCGUUGUUCGGAAUUAUUGGGCGUAAAGAGCACGUAGGCGGCCUUGUAAGUCAGUUGUGAAAGCCUUCUGCUUAACGGAAGAACAGCAGCUGAUACUGCAAGGCUAGAGUGCGGAAGGGGAGAGUGGAACUUCUGGUGGAGCGGUGAAAUGCGUAGAUAUCAGAAGGAACACCGGCGGCGAAGGCGACUCUCUGGUCCGUAACUGACGCUGAGUGUGCGAAAGCUAAGGGAGCAAACGGGAUUAGAUACCCCGGUAGUCCUAGCCGUAAACGAUGGGCACUAAGUAGAGGGGUUUUGAUUAUCUCUCUGCCGGAGCUAACGCAUUAAGUGCCCCGCCUGGGGAGUACGGCCGCAAGGCUAAAACUCAAAAGAAUUGACGGGGGCUCGCACAAGCGGUGGAGCAUGUGGCUUAAUUCGAUGCAACGCGAAGAACCUUACCGGGGUUUGACAUGGUAGAAGUAGGAGCCUGAAAGGGUGACGAACGGUAUCCAGUCCGUGACUAUUACAGGUGUUGCAUGGCUG
rnacentral:rRNA from 1 species